rnacentral:ribozyme from 1 species
UGCCCAGCAACUCCUAUUCCUACCUCCUCGUGGUACUGAACGGGUUAGGAGCAACCUUAGGGAAAAUCCUGUAACCAACUCCGCUAUAAACUUUUGUCGUAUGCUGAUAGGGACGU